CUUUCGGAUUCCCAGGGGGCUGCAAAGUUCUCCUUGGGAGGAGAAAUCAGAGAGCUCUGUGUUGCCCUAGGCACAUGGAGAGUGCUGUUCCGGGGGACUCUUUGCUGCUGUCAUAAUCUUUAAAGUGUGUUGCUCAUCAUCAGGAGCCCAGUGCCUGGUACUCGAAGGGCCAGGUCUAUGCAGAAAAGGAGCUAUGUAAAUGCAACCCUGAGCCAGGCUGCGGACAGCUUCCGGGAAAGCCUAGCGCAGUAGAUGAUCUUCAAACAUCAUUGGGAUCUGUAAGGCACACUUGCCUGGCAUUCUCUCUCUGGAUGCCACAGACGGUUUGAUGACACGUUGCCCUUCAAAGGGAAAAUGAUGAGAACAAGUGCCUUCCAAGGUCCUCGCCAUCACUGUGAAGCUACACUUUGUCCUUUUUAUGUUCAAGGGCUGAAGAUUGCUGAAGUGUAAUAAAAAUGUGGUCAAAAUUACCAGUUUUCAGACUGAGGCUCUAAGAAGACUGGCUCAAAUACGUAUUUUCCUACUGAUACAUUAAAACAAUGGACAGGGACAGAAAACAAGGUCCUCCUUUUAAUUGAUUAAUAUGUCUUUUAAUUCCGUCUUUGUCUAUGUCAUACCUGUUAGCAUUUAAGUAGCCUGCUUCUCGGUCGCCUAGUAACCUAUGAGGUCAUCAUGUGUUGCCCACCAGGUGUGUGGCAGACGCAGUUCAGCGGCACAGGAGCUAUAAAUGGACCUCUCCCCCCUCCUUUCUUGCUCUCUCACCUUUUCUCUGUCUGGGCGCCCCCUUUCCCCACCUGUCUCUGCCUUCCUCUUUCCCCCUCUCUCCCUAUCUCCUACAAUAAACCUCUUUCAUAUAAUAA